UGGGCGUAAAGCGAGCGCAGGCGGUUUUUUAAGUCUGAUGUGAAAGCCUUCGGCUCAACCGAAGAAGUGCAUCGGAAACUGGGAAACUUGAGUGCAGAAGAGGACAGUGGAACUCCAUGUGUAGCGGUGAAAUGCGUAGAUAUAUGGAAGAACACCAGUGGCGAAGGCGGCUGUCUGGUCUGUAACUGACGCUGAGGCUCGAAAGUAUGG
rnacentral:rRNA from 1 species